rnacentral:misc_RNA from 1 species
GAUGAAGAACGCAGCGAAAUGCGAUACUUGGUGUGAAUUGCAGAAUCCCGUGAACCAUCGAGUCUUUGAACGCAAGUUGCGCCCGAAGCCAUUAGGCCGAGGGCACGCCUGCCUGGGCGUCACACGUCGUUGCCCCCCCAUCUACUCCUUCGGGAUUGCGGGGGGCGGAUGAUGGCCUCCCGUGCGCCUCGCCGCGCGGUUGGCAUAAAUGCCAAGUCCUCGGCGACGCACGCCACGACAAUCGGUGGUUGCGAAACCUCGGUUGCCCGUCGUGUGCGGUCGUCGCGCAUCGAGGGCUCGAAAAAAUUGCAGGGUUCCGGCUCGGCUUUCAACGCGACCCCAGGUCAGGCGGGGUUACCCGCUGAAUUUAAGCAUAUCAAUAAGCGGAGGA